AACGCAUAUGGCACCCGAGACUUCGGUCGAGGGUAUGUCUGUCUCAGAGUCGGCGUGAAAAACACCCCGAGUGGACGCUUGCGUUCCGCGAUGGGGGAUCUGGCCCUCCCGGCGGCAGCCCAAGGGCGCGUCGAAGCCGGGUCGGCUGAAGGCGAGAGACGGGGGACCGGCAGGCGCCGGACGGCCACGAUUUUGGUGGGAGGACCUCGCGUCCACAACCUCGAUCGUCCGCCCGAUACCGUUGCUAUAAAAGCGCGGAAGUCUCCGGUCGGCAUCCCCGCCCGUGCAGGAAUUUUUUAACAUAAACUCGACCUGAGAUCAGGCAAGAUCACCCGCUGAACUUAA
rnacentral:misc_RNA from 1 species